CGUAGGGUGCGAGCGUUAAUCGGAAUUACUGGGCGUAAAGCGUGCGCAGGCGGUUUGUUAAGGUAGGCGUGAAAUCCCCGGGCUCAACCUGGGAACUGCGCUUAUGACUGGCAAGCUAGAGUACGGCAGAGGGGGGUGGAAUUCCACGUGUAGCAGUGAAAUGCGUAGAGAUGUGGAGGAACACCAAUGGCGAAGGCAGCCCCCUGGGUCGAUACUGACGCUCAUGCACGAAAGCGUGGGUAGCAAACAGGAUUAGAUACCCUGGUAGUCCACGCCCUAAACGAUGUCAACUAGGUGUUGGAUGGGUAAAACCAUUUAGUACCGGAGCUAACGCGUGAAGUUGACCGCCUGGGGAGUACGGCCGCAAGGUUA
rnacentral:rRNA from 1 species